GCGACCUCCUGAGCGAGCGCCGCCGCCAGGUUGCCGCCCGCGCUGUCCCCCGACACGGCCACGCGCUCGGGGUCCACGCCGUGCUCGGCCAGCGCCGCCGGGGUCAGGAAGCGCUUGGCGGCCGUCAGGCAGUCCAGUUUUGUAGCAAAUGAGCUAACGGCUCAGUAUAGUUGCAAAACGCGGGAGCGGAUGUAGCGUGCCGAUCCCUGAACUAUUGCACCACCGCCGUCUUUGAUCUGCGCACGACGUACCGAGGUGCAAAGGCAUAUGAAAGUCUUGAGGAUGGCGUCCAGCAGCAAAAGCUUCCACUGCUGCCCGAUGGCGGAGGGCAGCGGUCUGGACACGCAGUACCGCAGCGCCGCGGCGGCGGCCAGGGAGGAGGCGGCGACGCCCGCCCAGAGC